GACGAACGCUGGCGGCGUGCUUAACACAUGCAAGUCGAACGGUGAAGCGCUUUCCUUUUUGGUUGGUUUGGAUGAGUGGCGAACGGGCGAGUAACACGUGAGUACCCUGCUCCCUUCUUCUGGAUAACCGCAUGAAAGUGUGGCUAAUAUGGGAUAUUCUGCGCCUGCUGCUUGGUGGGUGUGGGAAAGAUUGUGUCUUUGGGUGUUCUCGGUGGGGGAUGGGCUCGCGGCCUAUCAGCUUGUUGGUGGGGGGAUGGCCGACCAAGGCGGUGACGGGUAGCCGGCCUGAGGGGGUCGACGGGAGAACUGGGACUGAGACACUGCCCAGGCGCCUACGGGAGGCAGCAGUGGGGAAUAUUGCGCGAGGGGCGCAAGCCUGAUGCAGCGACGCCGCGUGAGGGAUGGAGGCCUUCGGGUUGUGAACCUCUUUCGCCAGUGAAGCAGGCCUGCUCAUUGUGGGUGGGUUGACGGUAGCUGGAGAAGAAGCACCGGCUAACUACGUG
rnacentral:rRNA from 1 species